GGGUGCUGCUUUCUUGCGGUGUGAUCUGCCCUUCAACCAUGAGGAUCCUUUACCUGCUCUUUGCUGCUGUCAUGAUCCUUUUCCUCCAGGCUGUUCCAGGCGGAUGGGAAGAAUAGCCCUUUUAUGAAAGAUGCAGUUUUCUAGCCUGGUGUUGAGUGCAAAACAAGGAAUCCUUGCUAUUUUGAAAGCCAAAGGCAGCUAUUACAGCACCCUGCAAUGCAGAAGCAACCACGGCCACUGCCGGAGACUCUGCUUCCACGGGGAACGGUGGAUCGGCAAUUGCAACGGUGGGCAUCAACACUGCUGC